AGUGGCGGACGGGUGAGUAACGCGUGGGCAACCUGCCCCAUACAGGGGGAUAACAGCCGGAAACGGCUGCUAAAACCGCAUAAGCGCACAAGGGCCGCAUGGCCUGGUGUGAAAAACUCCGGUGGUAUGGGAUGGGCCCGCGUCUGAUUAGCUAGUUGGCGGGGGAGAGGCCCACCAAGGCGACGAUCAGUAGCCGACCUGAGAGGGUGGCCGGCCACAUUGGGACUGAGACACGGCCCAAACUCCUACGGGAGGCAGCAGUGGGGAAUAUUGCACAAUGGGGGAAACCCUGAUGCAGCGACGCCGCGUGAGCGAAGAANUAUUUCGGUAUGUAAAGCUCUAUCAGCAGGGAAGAAAAAUGACGGUACCUGAGUAAGAAGCACCGGCUAAAUACGUGCCAGCAGCCGCGGUAAUACGUAUGGUGCAAGCGUUAUCCGGAUUUACUGGGUGUAAAGGGAGCGCAGGCGGGCAUUUAAGCCGGCGGUCAAAUGUCGGGGCUCAACCCCGGCCUGCCGUCGGAACUGGGUGCCUUGAGUGGGCGAGAAGUAUGCGGAAUGCGUGGUGUAGCGGUGAAAUGCAUAGAUAUCACGCAGAACCCCGAUUGCGAAGGCAGCAUACCGGCGCCCUACUGACGCUNAGGCACGAAAGUGCGGGUAUCGAACAGGAUUAGAUACCCUGGUA
rnacentral:rRNA from 1 species